CCAACACAACCCUCGCAACCCUCAAAUCCCUUUUGCCCCUCAUUCCCUCUAUUUCUCCAGCCUCCUUCCAUUCCCUUCCUUGCCCUUACUCCUCUUUUCCGAUUUUCCCCUUUCUCUCCUUCUCUCUCAGUCUACCCCUUUUACCCGCCAUAUUCAAAUAUUUCUCACACCCUUUUCUCUGAUUUCAAUUUGGAGCCCUUUUCUCCAUCCUUUUUCCUCAUUUGGAUCAAUUUUGGGCGAAAUCUGUGAUGGGUUCUGAUGGGUUUUGUGUUUUCUUGGUGUUUUGAUUGAAAAAGCUCGAAUCUUUGAGUUUUAGUUCAGUUUGGGUUUUAGGGCUGCUCGACGAAGUCUUGAUCUUGAUUUCAAAGAGUUAGUCUUUUGAUUUUUGGCUCUCUCUAAAUUGAUGGUGAGUUUGGUGUUUUAUUCGGUUCCUGUUACUAGUUUGGUUUGUGGUUUUUGAUGUUGUGAUAAGUAGAUUGUUGGGACUAACUCUUUUACUGUAUUGUUUGUUUUAGGGAUUUGUACAGUUAAAUUAUAUUGAGACUUGUUGGUUUUAAUUCAUUCUUGUAGCUGAAAGGAGCUGCUAUUUCACGGAGUUUGAUCAGUGGUUUGGACUAAUAUAGUGCUGGGAGCAGGUCAGACUGUAUUCUUUUAACUUUUGGGUUUUGAUUUAUCCCGUCUUUUAUUUUUAUGAUUUUGAAUACUGAUAAUAGGUUUUAGGUUAUUAUGCUUACUUCUCCCUGCACACUCUCUAGUUCAAUUAGCUAAAUCAUGAAUUAUGUCCACUUUUGAAGCAGGCCUUAGUGAAGUCAGCUGAAGUAAAAAGUAGCGAUAUUUGUUAGUCUUGAGUUGAUACUUUAUCAAGUGAGAGAAGAGUUUAUCUUCCGUUGGUACAUUUGGUGCCCGCAUAUUUCUCAGACAGGACAGCAUAUUGAUAGAAGUGUAGCUACUUUUGCAGAAAUAAAUGGCAAACCAUGAGUUGAUCCUUGGCCAAAAUCACAAUUUAGGUGUUGGUGGUGAGAACCAGCAAAUAGUGUUUGACCAUACUCAUGAUAUGGGCAUAAGCCAGAACCAUGGAUUGGAACUGGCAGAGAACCAUAACGAUGAGGACGAGAUGGGUAUAGUGCAGAGCCAAGAUCAUGACGGGAACCACGAGCAUGAGUAUGAGCACGAGGAUGGUUUACCAAAUGAGCGGAAGCUUGAGCAUGAAAACCAGGAGUUGCCUAAUGAAAACAAUGAGUUAGAUAUUUCUGAACAAGAUGAGUUAGGCAUCGAGGAAAACCAAGAGCUUGGUGAUAACAUGGAAUUAGCUGUGGUUGAGAGCCAUGAUAUGGGUGUUGAACAACCUGAACAUGUAUUUGAAGUCCAUGAUGGCCAGAUGGUUCUUGCUUCGUCAGGCCCUGUCAUUCAGGCCCGAACUAUUUCAGCAACACCUGAUUAUGAGCUACACGUGGGACAAGAAUUCCCUGAUGUCAAAAGCUGCCGAAGGGCUUUACGUGACACAGCCAUUGCUCUUCACUUCGAGAUUCAGACCAUAAAAUCUGAUAAAACUCGUUUUACUGCUAAGUGUGCCAGUGAGGGCUGCCCUUGGCGCAUUCAUGCUGCCAAACUUCCAGGUGUACCCACAUUCACUAUCAGAACAAUUCAUGACAACCAUACAUGUGGAGGAAUCGCUCAUCUUGGCCACCAGCAAGCCUCAGUUCAGUGGGUGGCCAACUCUGUGGAGCAACGGCUUCGGGAAAACCCAAAUUGCAAGCCAAAAGAGAUCCUUGAAGAAAUUCACCGGACUCAUGGAAUCACCCUGUCGUACAAACAAGCUUGGCGUGGAAAGGAACGAAUAAUGGCUGCUAUGCGCGGUUCCUUUGAAGAAGGUUAUCGCCUUCUUCCUCAGUACUGUGAACAAGUUAAAAGGACCAAUCCAGGGAGUAUAGCAUCAGUUUACGCAAAUCCUGCUGAUAAUUGCUUUCAGCGGCUUUUUAUAUCAUUUCAGGCUUCUAUUUUUGGUUUUCUAAAUGCUUGUCGCCCUCUUCUUGGGCUUGAUCGGACGUUCUUGAAAAGUAAAUAUCUUGGUACUUUACUUUUAGCUACUGGCUUUGAUGGAGAUGGCGGCCUUUUUCCGCUAGCAUUUGGUGUUGUUGAUGAGGAAAAUGAUGAUAAUUGGAUGUGGUUUCUCUCUGAACUUCAUACCUUGCUAGAGGUCAAUACAGAAAACAUGCCAAGGCUUACCAUCUUGUCUGACAGGCAGAAGGGCAUUGUAGAUGGUGUUGAAGCAAAUUUCCCCACUGCUUUCCAUGGUUUUUGCAUGCGUCAUUUGAGUGAAAGCUUCCGUAAGGAAUUC
rnacentral:lncRNA from 1 species